rnacentral:rRNA from 1 species
ACUCAAAUGAAUUGACGGGGACCUGCACAAGCGGUGGAGCGUGUGGUUUAAUUCGAUAGCAAGCGAAGAACCUUACCCAGGCUUGACAUCUCUGGAAAGUCCCGGAAACGGGACCGUGCCGCAAGGAACCAGAUGACAGGUGCUGCACGGUUGUCGUCAGCUCGUGCUGUGAAGUGUCCCGUUCAGUCGGUUAACGAGCGCAACCCCUAUCCUGUGUUAAAUAUCUCACAGGAAACUGCCCCAGUUAAUGGGGAGGAAGGCGGGGAUGACGUCAAAUCAGCGUGGCUCUUACGCCUGGGGCGACACACGCGCUACAAUGGGGAGUAACAAUGGGUUGCCAAGCCGCGAGGCGGAGCUAAUCCCACCAAACCUCCCCCCAGUUCGGAUUGGAGGCUGCAACUCGCCUCCAUGAAGUCGGAAUCGCUAGUAACGGCCGGUCAGCCAUACGGCCGUGAAUACGUUCUCAGGUCUUGUACACACCGCCCGU